GAUGAAGAACGCAGCGAAAUGCGAUAAGUAAUGUGAAUUGCAGAAUUCAGUGAAUCAUCGAAUCUUUGAACGCACAUUGCGCCCGCCAGUAUUCUGGCGGGCAUGCCUGUUCGAGCGUCAUUUCAACCAUCAAGCCCUGCUUGCGUUGGGGUCCUGCGGCUGCCCGCAGGCCCUGAAAACCAGUGGCGGGCUCGCUAGUCACACCGAGCGCAGUAAUACAUCUCGCUUUGGGCGUGCGGCGGGUUCUUGCCGUUAAACACCCCCGUUUUACCAAGGUUGACCUCGGAUCAGGUAGGAAUACCCGCUGAACUUAAGCAUAUCAAUAAGCGGAGGA
rnacentral:misc_RNA from 1 species